rnacentral:lncRNA from 1 species
AAAUUCCUACAUUGACUAAUCAUACAUUCAUAUUUACAAAAUAACUCAACCAAGGCUGUAAUUGAGAUUUUGAGACCUAAACCGAACUUCUAAGUUGGGCAUUUAUGUAGCUAAGGAAAGGCUUGUGGUCUCCUGAAGAAGAUGAAAAACUUAUAAAGCGCAUAACUAAAUAUAGACAUGGAUGUUGGAGUUCUGUUUCUAAACUAGCUGGUAAUAACUUUAUUUUUCGUCAGCCAUUUUUGAUUUUAUUUUCAUGUUUUUCGUUUUUGAUCACACUAUUGUGUGAUAAUCUUGAAGGGCUUCAACGGUGUGGAAAGAGCUACAGGUUAAGGUGGAUUAAUUACUUAAGGCCUAAUUUGAAAAGAGGGACAUUUUCUCAGGAGGAAGAGAAUUUGAUUAUUGAAUUGCAUGCAGUUCUUAGAAACAAGUAUAUAAUUUUGAAUUAUCCUGCAGUUUCUUGCAUGUUUAAUUUGAAUUUUCUGGAAUAUUAAGGUUGUUUAAUUCUGAACAUUUGCAACAAAAAGGGGCAGCAGCAGUAGGUAAAAUGCAUACCAAUUUCUAACUAAAAAAGAUUAAGAACCUAAGGAAUUUCUAUCAGUAUCAUACAUCUUCUUCUAGAAUUUGGUAGGGCAGAAAGUACUAGGCGAUGUGAAAAUGGAAGGAUAAACAAUGAAAGGGCAAUAAUUUUUAUUAUUUGUAUGGAAUGAAAAGUGGAAGGAAAAGAACAAUUAUUUUUAAUUUCUCAUAUUUUCUUCUUUUCCUCUCAUUUUCCACCCCUAUUCCCAGCCAAAGGAAGGAAAAUAGUUUUGUCUCCUCGAAGGACAGAAAAUCCAUAUUGCAAUUAUCUGUCCCUGCUCGUUUUCCAUCCUUUCAUCCAAUCAUAGCCUUAAUAUAAUUCUGGCAGCAUAUACUGUAGAUAAUAGCCAAAUAAAAGUGGAGUACAAUCUAUUAACAAGAAGAGAAACACCACUUAAUAUAUAUGCUCGUGGCACUGACAAGUUUAAUAAACACAUAAAACUGCAGGAUACAAUGAGUAGUGGAUUUUUCUUUGUUUGGUAUAUAAGCUUAAAGCAUUCACUAAAGAAGCAUAAUUUUAUAAAUGAAACUACGAUUCCACUCAAUUAACUGAACGGUUCAUAAAAGUAGAGUAUAAACUAACGAUUAUCUGCGAAUGUCAACUUUCUUUGUAUCACGGCUAUCGCCAAAGGCAUUAUCGUGCUACAGAAGAGAGAGAGAGAUUCAAACAUGAGACAUAAACAUAGAAAAUGGCACUACUGAUGGUUAUGGUAUGAAAAGAAAAUCAUAUAUCUGGAGGCAGCACAAAUGCAAUCACCUGAGUUAUUAAUGACAACAAUAGGCACAAAUGCAUGAUCUUUCACAAUUUGCCAAAACCUUUACAAUACCUUCACAAUCUGCCAAAACUUGGGCCUCUUGUCCAGUUGCACAGACCAACAUUGAUCAAUCAACAUCCUCAUGGCAAGGGAACAAUAAUCAGGGACACAGGUCUCAAAUUUUGAAAGAACCCAAACAGAGUUUGGUUUAAAAAUUAAAUAGCACUAAGAUACAUAUUUUGAAUUUUGUAACAUACAGGGGGAAUGAGAAGUUGCUCAUGUAUCAAUAUAAUAUCCAACAAAUAAUUCAACCCCAUGGCUUCCAUGAAUAUCCACCAGAUUAACCAAAUCCAUUAGCAGCACCGUGUACUCUUAUUUAAUAAAUUUUAGCUGAAGGUGUAGCAAACAUGACUCUUGCUGUAAAUCACACGUCUCUAUACUUGGCAAUUUAAAAAUCCUGGCAUCACUAUGUAAUCCUUUUAUUGUUUAUAUAUUUCAUAUCCAAGGAAAAGGACAAAAACUUAAUAAUACCAUCUAAAAUAUGAACAAAAAUCACAAAAAGCGAGAGCUAACAACUACUGAAAUGAACUAGUAAGGCCAAAUAAUUGACAGAAGCACUCAUAGAAAAAACCCCAUCUUUAAAACAUGACCAAGAAAACCGGAGUUUUAAACCAUAACAAACUUGCACCAAUUUGAAGUACGAACGUUUCAAAUGAAAAGGGCAUUCCACGACAAUAGUAUUUAAAUAUAACAGAUAGGUAAAUGAAACAACAAAAAUCUUUCCUUGUUCACUACAGCAACAAAAUGACCCUCAAUAAUAUAUGAAAGAGUAACCAGCAGUGAAAGCAAUAGCCAAUAAUAGAAAUGGGAUAAAGAGGUAGGAGAGAGGUAAACAGCGAUAAGUGGCAAAGAAACUAGUAGGCAUAAGCCCUCUCAUUGGAGGAGACAUGGAAAGCCCAGAUGAGAUUGGGAGGAGGCUACAAGAGACGAGAUAGGGUUAGGGAUUUGCAAAGCAGGAAAAUGAAGUAUUUGAGUACGGAUGAAAAGCCUUAAGAAAUGAAAGUAGAAAAAUAAAAAUUUUAAAGAGAAAUAGAAGAAUUUUAGUGGGAAAUGAAAAUUUAAGUAGGAGGAAAAUUGCGU